CGGGUUCGAGGCAUUCUGCCGCUAUGUCACUACAAACUCCGAAUAACAGAAUGUAAACGCGUCUAACGCAUCUUAAUACAACUUUCAGCAACGGAUCUCUUGGCUCUCGCAUCGAUGAAGAACGCAGCGAAAUGCGAUAAGUAAUGUGAAUUGCAGAAUUCAGUGAAUCAUCGAAUCUUUGAACGCACCUUGCGCUCCUUGGUAUUCCGAGGAGCAUGCCUGUUUGAGUGUCAUGGAAUUCUCAACCCAUAGAUCCUUGUGGUCUACGGGCUUGGAUUUGGAGGCUUGCCGGCCCUUACACGGGGUCGGCUCCUCUUGAAUGCAUUAGCUUGAUUCCGUGCGAAUCGGCUUUCAGUGUGAUAAUUGUCUACGCUGUGGCCGUGAAGCGUUUGGCGAGCUUCUAACCGUCCGUUAGGACAACUUCUUGACAUCUGACCUCAAAUCA
rnacentral:rRNA from 1 species